rnacentral:rRNA from 1 species
GGGGAAUCUUCCGCAAUGGACGAAAGUCUGACGGAGCAACGCCGCGUGAGUGAUGACGGCCUUCGGGUUGUAAAGCUCUGUUAAUCGGGACGAAAGGCCUUCUUGCGAAUAGUUAGAAGGAUUGACGGUACCGGAAUAGAAAGCCACGGCUAACUACGUGCCAGCAGCCGCGGUAAUACGUAGGUGGCAAGCGUUGUCCGGAAUUAUUGGGCGUAAAGCGCGCGCAGGCGGAUCAGUCAGUCUGUCUUAAAAGUUCGGGGCUUAACCCCGUGAGGGGAUGGAAACUGCUGAUCUAGAGUAUCGGAGAGGAAAGUGGAAUUCCUAGUGUAGCGGUGAAAUGCGUAGAUAUUAGGGAGAACACCAGUGGCGAAGGCGACUUUCUGGACGAAAACUGACGCUGAGGCGCGAAAGCCAGGGGAGCGAACGGGAUUAGAUACCCCGGUAGUCCUGGCCGUAAACGAUGGGUACUAGGUGUAGGAGGUAUCGACCCCUUCUGUGCCGGAGUUAACGCAAUAAGUACCCCGCCUGGGGAGUACGACCGCAAGGUUG